rnacentral:rRNA from 1 species
CCUACGUGUGGCAGCAGUGAGGAAUAUUGGUCAAUGGUCGCAAGACUGAACCAGCCAAGCCGCGUGCGGGAGGAAGGCACUGAGAGUUGUAAACCUCUUUUGUCAGGGAAUAAAUGCGGGGACGUGUCUCCGGAUGAGAGUACCUUACGAAUAAGCAUCGGCUAACUCCGUGCCAGCAGCCGCGGUAAUACGGAGGAUUCGAGCGUUAUCCGGAUUUAUUGGGUUUAAAGGGUGCGGAGGCGGUUCGUUAAGUUAGCGGUGAAAGGCCGGGGGUCAACACCGGCCCUGCCGUUGAUACUGGCGGGCGCGAGUUUAGGUGAGGUAGGCGGAAUGUAUGGUGUAGCGGUGAAAUGCAUAGAGAUCAUACAGAACUCCGAUUGCGAAGGCAGCAUACCAACCUACGACUGACGUUGAGGCACGAAAGCGUGGGGAGCGAACAGGAUUAGAUACCCUGGUAGUC